rnacentral:lncRNA from 1 species
GGGGUAUUUUCUCAAUUCAGGUUCCUUUUUUGGUUUUUUGGUUUUGUGUGUGUGUGGUUUUUGUUUUUGUUUUGUUUUGUUUUGUUUUGUUUUUUGAAAGAGAAUUUCUCUGUGUAGCAUUGGCUGUCCUGGAAUCACUCUGUAGACCAGGCUGGCCUUGAACUCAGAGAUAUGCCUGCCUGUCUCUGCCUCCUGGGCACUGGGAUUAAAGAUGAGCACCACCACUACCCAACCAGUUGAGUAAGGGUCCUUCUUACCAAAUGACUCUAGCUUUCAUUAAGUUGACACAAAACUAGCGAGCACAGCAGGUAUUCAGACAUAUAUCUAUAAUUUUUUUUAAAGAUUUAUUUAUUUAUUACAUGUAAGUACACUGUAGCUGUCUUCAGACACUCCAGAAGAGGGAGUCAGAUCUCGUUAUGGAUGGUUUUGAGCCACCAUGUGGUUGCUGGGAUUUGAACUCCAGACCUUUGGAAGAGCAGUCGGGUGCUCUUACCCACUGAGCCAUCUCACCAGCCCAUAUAUCUAUAAUUGCAUGUUAGUCUAUACAUAUAAAUACUUGUUUCUAGGGCUGAAGAGAUGGAUCAGUAGUUAAGAACUCUUGCUUAGGAACUAAAUAAAUUCAGUUCUCUGCAUGAGUGUGGUGGCUCACCACCACAGUUCAAGUUCCAGAGGAUCUGGUGCCCUCUUCUGACUGCUCUGAGCACUACACACAUACAGUGCAUCCGACACAAAAGACAAGAAAUCUCUGUGGGUUUGUUUAAGAUUUAUUUUAUGUAUGUGAGUACACUCUUUCUGUUUUCAGACACACUAGAAAAGGGCAUCCAAUCCCAUUACAGAUGGUUGUGAGCCAUCAUGUGGUUGCUGGGAAUUGAACUCAAAAAGACUUUUUCAGAGCAGUCAGACCUCCUUUUUUUUCCCUAUAAAUAUUUUAUUUAUUUGUGUUUAGAAGUUGCAGUUUUAGUACUAUUAACAGAAAAUACAUAACAAAGGCUUCCUAAAAGUGAAAAAAAUUAUAAAUGUUGGAAAAGUUGGCCUCAUUAACAUAUUUGCAGACUUUUACUUAAUACACACUCCUUUGGAACUCACUUAUGACAUUUUUACAGGCUUUAUCACCCGAGUCUCUGAGUAGUGAGCACUUCAGCUCUUUACAGUCUCCCCGAGACUGUAAAUAAAUAAGCCAAAUGGUGGCAGCAGAGACAGGUAGAUCUCUGUGAAUUUAAGGCCAGCCUUGUCUACAGAAUGAGUUCCAGGAUGGACAGGGUUGCUGAGAAACCUGCUUAGAAGAAAAAAUGAAUGAAUGCAUGCAUGAUUGUUUUUGUGCCCCCACUAUAUACAUACAUAUAAUUCUAAAAUCCAGCAGCAUCAGAUUCCUGCCCCCUCACCAUACAUCUCUGUUUCUAUAUUCGUUUCUGUCUCUGUCUGCUAUACCUUCAGUCCAAGAUCUUGCACAUGUACUACCACUGAGCCACAUCCCCAGACCCUGUGUUGAAUUUGUUACUAUAUCAUCUGCUAAAUUCAUUGAUUUAAAAUAGUGACUACAUCAAAGAAUUUCAGUUUAAAAGCAAUUCUUAAACUCACAGCCUCUGUCCUCAGCACUGGAGUUAAAUAAAAGGCAUGAGCCACCAUUACCCAGUGCAGAAUCUGAUUUUAAUUGUUCUUAACACUACAUGUAAAUUUUAUUUGUAUUGAGUGCACUGUUUGAAAGGUGAGCAGCUGUACUCUGGUAAGAGAGAUUUAAGCCAGCACAUAUUGCUAAGGAUACAAAAAAACGAAUGGAUACUAAUUGGUGUAAUUCCAUCUGGACUUGUGGCCAAUACUGUGAUGAGCCUCGAUCUUAUUGUUAGAAGAAUGCUAUUCUACACAGCUUCUUCCCCUUCUGGACCCCUUCUCUUCAAAAUCUGCUGUUUCUACAAAGAACAAUACGCUUUUGUCUUUGUUUGCAAAUCUAGCUACGAGUAACUUUACAUUUAAUUAGAUUUGCCAUUCAAAGGUGAAUAACAGUACUAGCUGGCCACUAGUGAGUCCUGACAUAAUUAACAGCUUAGAGCUUCCUGCCUGGCUGAGUGUCCCUGUGACACAGGUGUUCUGCAUCUUUAAAAGCUUCUUGUUACCAGGGAGCAGCAGCUCUGACUUUCACACUGGGUGCACAUUCAGUCCAAACAGUGAGUGGAUGUGAUACAUGAAUAAAUAUUUGUUUUCCAGCUGCCGUGACUUACUCGAAGCCUCGAUUGGCCACAUUUUGGCACUACGCCAAGGUUGAGCUGGUUCCCCCAACCCCUGCUGAAAUCCCUACAGCUAUUCAGAGUGUGAAAAAAAUCAUUCAAAGUGCUAAAACUGGUAGCUUCAAACACCUUACAGUUAAGGUAACUACGUGCUAAAUGAAAAAGUAUGUUUGUGAUUGAAAAAAUAUCUUCCCUGGGAAUAUUUCCAGUUCUUUUGAUUAAUAUAUAUAUUUUCCAAUAAGGCAAAGUCCAACAUAAUGAGAGCUUAUCUUUUUUUGACUACCAAGAAAAAAUUUUCUUCUCUCAUUUUGUCAUCUGGAUAGAAGUGAUCCAGCUGUUGUUUGUCUUGGUCUAGUUGUGAUUGUAGAGCAAAAAGGUGAGUGUCCUGAGAGCUGGGAACCUCACUCUCCUUCCUGAUGUCAGCAAGUAUCUUAUAAUAUGACACAGUUUUCCAGCUUUGUUUUCUUUUUAGUACUAGAAUUAGCUCCAUUUCAGAUAAUGACAACUAGAGUUAUUAGGCAGAGCAAAAAUACCAAAAUCUGGGUUUUCAGAUUGCAUGUAGAUUAAAUACCACGAGUUGAAACUUAACUUUUAAGUACACCCGAUAUCUAGUAACUGCUGUGGCCAGAGCCUUUGCCUGGGGAAGGGUGGCAGUCAGGAGACGUCAUUAGCCUCUGGUCUACCUGAAGGAGGAAAAUGACUUCCAAAAAUGCUAUUAUUGCUAGUAGUAAAAAGGUCCAGUUUGUUUAUAGAAGGAUUUUUUUUCCUAACUAGAGUUUGUAAUUCUGAGUUUGUGAUUACAUGAAACAGUGCUUCCUAGAACCAUGUGUGGUUUGCUUUUGUUUUUCUUGUUGGUCAAGAAUAUAAAACGGAUACUGAAUAUUUGGAAAAAAUUAAACUAAAUGAUGGUGAAAGAGGGAAGAAGACAGAGCCCUUCAUCUUAGACAGAAGUAUCUGUUCAGAGAGAAGCCUUCCUAUGAAUGCCCCAUCUAAUGUGUGAGCCACUUCCAGGAUGUGGGGUGUUUUAGGACCCAUAAAGUAUCUCAUAAAUAAUAAUGAAAGGGUUAAGUCAGUUCAGAAAGACCUUUAAAAAGCUCUUUGAAACAGUUUAUAAGCUCAGGUCCGUUUGCCUCACAAAAUUGAAAGUUCAAGGCUCUCAAGUUGAACAUUGAAUAUCAGUAAUUCCUAGCUUGGGCUAAAAUUGUUCUGUAGUUUUCAAUGGCCUCCGUACAUUCUCUGAGAGAGAACAGUUUUAAAUAUGUGUUGGGUUUUUUGAUUGUUCAUUUUUUAAAGUACCUUAAAGUUUCUGCUUUUUUCUUUUCCAGGAAGCUGUGCUGAAUGGUUUGGUGGCCACUGAGGUGUGGAUGUGGUUUUAUAUCGGAGAGAUCAUAGGCAAACGUGGCAUUGUUGGCUAUGAUGUUUGAAGACCAAUCUUUAACUUCUGAUUUGAGUUCUUAUUUGAAUGUUCUUGGACCAUGUGUAACAGGACUGCUAUCUGAAUAAAAUACUAGGUGUUGAAAACACUGCUGUGUUUUCUCUGUCAAGUACUGCAGUCAUAGUAUUUCCUGAGAGUAAGUUGAGUUGUCUUUGGCUUUGUUACAUUGAAACAGGUUUAAGUGUGUGUCUGUUUAACCUGCAGUUAGGAAAAACAGAUGUGAAUAUAUCAACCUGGACAUAAAUACAUGAUGAUUAAAAUUGUAAUUCAGAGGUUUAAAUUCAAAUCCAGGCAGUGGUAGUGGCACACACCUUUAAUCCCAGCACUCAGGAAGCAGAGGCAGGUAAUAUCUGAGUUUGAGGCCAGCCUGGUCAACAGAGCAAGUUCAGGACAGCCAGGGCUACACAGAGAAACUUUUGUCUCCUCCACCCACAAAACAAAACAAACAAAAACAAAAACAAAAUACGUCUGUAAGCCUAGAGGUUGGGAGGUAGAGUUGGAAGGCUCACUACAUUUAAAGCUGACUUGAUCUAUCCACACAGUUUCAGGUCAGAAAUGGUUUUACAAUGGAAAUACAAACUCUUAUCUCUAAAAAAGAGAGAGAGGCCAAAACUGUAAACAGGUGUAGUGCAUAUACCCAGCAACAGAAAAGGCUGAUAGAAGAUCACUUGAGUCAAGGAGUUCAAGACCAGCCUGAAUGUAUAAUGAAUGGGACUUUGUCUCAAAAGGAAAUAUGGGGGAGGGGCAGGAGUUUAAGGCCAACUUGGGCUAUGAGAGACCUUGUCUCAUACACAGAAAUU